rnacentral:rRNA from 1 species
UGACGGUACCCUACUAGAAAGGAGCCGCUAACUUCGUGCCAGAAGCGUCGGUAAUACGGGGGCUCCAAGCGUUAUCCGGUGUUAUUGGGCGUAAAGAGUCGUGUAGGUGGUUGGGUAAGUUAUCUUUCAAAUAUCUUUGCUUAACAAAGAGGAGGGGGAUAAUACUGCUCGACUAGAAUUUUCUCAAGGGAGAUCGGAACUGAGGGAGGAGUAGUGAAAUGCGUUGAUACCCUCGGGAACACCAGUGGCGUAGGCGGAUCUCUGGGAGAAGAUUGUCACUGAGACACGAUAGCUAGGGGAGCGAAGCAGAUUAGAGACCUGCGUAGUCCUAGCGGUAAACGCAUGCUUGCUAGCUGCAUGAAUCUACCUUCGGGUGGUAUCGUGUGGCGAAGGUAACCUGUUUAGCAAGCCGCCUGGAAAGUACGGCCGCAAGGCUGAAAUUCAAAGGAAUUGGCGGGGAGGCACACAACCAGUGGAACAUGUGGUUUAAUUCGAGACUAACCGAAGAACCUCACCAGGGUUUGACAUGUAGCUGCACGUCUUAAGAAAUUAAGACUCUCUUGAAGGUGCUACACAGGUGCUGCAUGGCGGUGGUCAGCUCGUUCCGUGAGGAGUGCCCUUAAGUGGGACAACGAGCGCAACCCGUAUUACAUGUUAGAAAUGUCAUGUAAGACUGCCUUGUCAUUUGGCGGGGAGGAAGGAGGGGCAGACGUCAAGUCCGCAUGGUCCUUAUGCCCUGGGCUACACACAUGUUACAAUGAGUACGGCAAUGAGU